rnacentral:rRNA from 1 species
GUGCCAGCAGCCGCGGUAAUACGGAGGAUGCGAGCGUUAUCCGGAUUUAUUGGGUUUAAAGGGUGCGUAGGCUGAUCGGUAAGUCGGCGGUGAAAUGCCAUGGCUCAACCAUGGGAUUGCCGCUGAAACUGUCGGUCUUGAAUAUGGUCAAGGUAGGCGGAAUGUGUAAUGUAGCGGUGAAAUGCUUAGAUAUUACACAGAACACCGAUUGCGAAGGCAGCUUGCUGGGCCAGCAUUGACGCUGAGGCACGAAAGCGUGGGGAUCGAACAGGAUUAGAUACCCUGGUAGUCC